rnacentral:rRNA from 1 species
UGAACGCUGGCGGCGUGCCUACUACAUGCACGUCGAGCGACCAGACGCGGAGCUUGCUCCUCUGACGUUAGCGGCGGACGGGUGAGUAACACGUGGAUAACCUACCUAUAAGACUGGGAUAACUUCGGGAAACCGGAGCUAAUACCGGAUAAUAUAUUGAACCGCAUGGUUCAAUAGUGAAAGACGGUUUUGCUGUCACUUAUAGAUGGAUCCGCGCCGCAUUAGCUAGUUGGUAAGGUAACGGCUUACCAAGGCAACGAUGCGUAGCCGACCUGAGAGGGUGAUCGGCCACACUGGAACUGAGACACGGUCCAGACUCCUACGGGAGGCAGCAGUAGGGAAUCUUCCGCAAUGGGCGAAAGCUUGACGGAGCAACGCCGCGUGAGUGAUGAAGGUCUUCGGAUCGUAAAACUCUGUUAUUAGGGAAGAACAAAUGUGUAAGUAACUAUGCACGUCUUGACGGUACCUAAUCAGAAAGCCACGGCUAACUACGUG